UUUUUUGACCAUACCAUCUUAAAUGUGUCUCAUCUAAUCCCAUCUUGGAAGCUAAACAUGGUUGGAUCUGGUUAGUACUUGGAUGUGACACAAGGGCACAUAUUUGACAUGGUGC
ensembl:rRNA 5S_rRNA 5S ribosomal RNA